rnacentral:sRNA from 1 species
CCUAAUUGCUAUCUAUCCACUUUAAUGAUUAAAUGCAAUUAUUCUCAUGUUUUCUCGUGGAUUCAAUAAAAAAAUUAUGUACUCAUCUUCUUUUCAAGUAACUAGAUCUAGUAAAAAAAAAAUGCUAGUGUUGAUAUAUGAUAUAGUUACGUAGGGGUGAUAGAAUCUAGACCUACGACACAACCUACUGUGAUUUACUGAUGUACGUGAUAAACAUUUGACCGGUUUCGACCUUCACAAGGACACAACUAGUUUAUGGCCUAUUGUCACAUGUGGGUCAAGAUUUUUAGAGUCUAAAACAAAAAAUUGACCUUCUAGUGACUUGGUAAUGGACCGUUACAGAUUUGUGUGCAGUUAUUGUAAAUGUUACAUUGCUGUGCACAAUGGUAUUAUUUCACGGGAGUACACUGGAACAUGUCCGUUUCUAACAAGUAAUAUCAUUCCUCUGUCAAGAAACGUUUACAGAGGACCUUUACAAGCGUUACGCAUCAAUAUACAUCAAGCAAUAGACUCGACAACGAUUGACAUCAGUGGUAAUUAUUAUUAUAUAUUCUUUUUUUGUUUCUUUUGUUGUGGGCUAAUCUAAUCUGACUUCGACUAUGUAUC